rnacentral:rRNA from 1 species
UGUCACAGCAAUGUGACAUGGCAAACGGGUUAGUAAUUCAUAGGAACGUUCCCAAAAGUCGUGAAUAAUCCGGAGAAAUCCGGGAUAAUACACGAUAUGCUCUACGGAGUAAAGAUUUAUCGCUUUUGGAGCGGCCUGUGUCCUAUCAGCUUGUUGGUAGUGUAAAGGACUACCAAGGCUAUGACGGGUAGGGGACCUGAGAGGGUGACCCCCAACAUUGGAACUGAGACACUGUCCAAACACCUACGGGUGGCUGCAGUCGAGAAUAUUCCACAAUGGGCGAAAGCCUGAUGGAGCGACGCCGCGUGCGGGAUGAAGGCCCUUGGGUUGUAAACCGCUUUUAAUCGGGAAGAAAUUGUGUCUCACUAUUGUUUUGUUUGGUGAAAAAAUUUUUAAUUUUUAAUUUUAUAAUUUUGUAAAUAAAUCUAAAUUUUUAAUUUCUAAACUUCCGCGAAGGAACAGUUUAAAAAUUUAGACAUUAAAAAUUACCAAAUUAGAAAUUUAUACGAAAUCAUAGUGAGGCACAAUUUGACGGUACCGAUUGAAUAAGAGGUUACUAACUCUGUGCCAGCCGCCGCGGUAAUACA